CGCUGGCGGCAGGCCUCAAACAUGCAAGUCUAGGGGAUGUAGCAAUACAUCACCGGCGGACGGGUGCGUAACACGUGGGAAUAUACCUUUCGGUACGGAACAACUGCGGGAAACUGCAGCUAAUACCGUAUACGUCCUUACGGAGAAAGAUUUAUCGCCGAAGGAUUAGCCCGCGUUCGAUUAGCUAGUUGGUGAGGUAAUGGCUCACCAAGGCGACGAUCGAUAGCUGUUCUGAGAGGAAGAUCAGCCACACUGGGACUGAGACACGGCCCAGACUCCUACGGGAGGCAGCAGUUGGGAAUCUUGGACAAUGGGGGAAACCCUGAUCCAGCCAUGCCGCGUGAGUGAUGAAGGCCUUCGGGUUGUNAAGCUCUUUUACCCGGGAAGAUAAUGACUGUACCGGGAGAAUAAGCUCCGGCUAACUUCGUGCCAGCAGCCGCGGUUAUACCAAGGGGGCUAGCGUUGUUCGGAAUUACUGGGCGUNAAGCGUUCGCAGGUGGCUUCCC
rnacentral:rRNA from 1 species